rnacentral:rRNA from 1 species
UACGUAGGGUGCGAGCGUUAAUCGGAAUUACUGGGCGUAAAGCGUGCGCAGGCGGUUGUGUAAGACAGGCGUGAAAUCCCCGGGCUCAACCUGGGAAUGGCGCUUGUGACUGCACGGCUGGGGUGCGGCAGAGGGGGAUGGAAUUCCGCGUGUAGCAGUGAAAUGCGUAGAUAUGCGGAGGAACACCGAUGGCGAAGGCAAUCCCCUGGGCCUGCACUGACGCUCAUGCACGAAAGCGUGGGGAGCAAACAGG